rnacentral:rRNA from 1 species
CCUACGGGUGGCUGCAGUGGGGAAUAUUGGGCAAUGGGCGAAAGCCUGACCCAGCAACGCCGCGUGAAGGAAGAAGGUUUUCGGAUUGUAAACUUCUGUCCUCAGGGAAGAAGAAAGUGACGGUACCUGAGGAGGAAGCCCCGGCUAACUACGUGCCAGCAGCCGCGGUAAUACGUAGGGGGCGAGCGUUGUCCGGAAUGACUGGGCGUAAAGGGCGCGUAGACGGCUGUCUAAGUCUGGAGUGAAAGUCCUGCUUUCAAGGUGGGAAUUGCUUUGGAGACUGGAUGGCUUGAGUGCGGAAGAGGUAAGUGGAAUUCCCAGUGUAGCGGUGAAAUGCGUAGAGAUUGGGAGGAACACCAGUGGCGAAGGCGACUUACUGGGCCGUAACUGACGUUGAUGCGCGAAAGCGUGGGGAGCGAACAGGAUUAGAUACCCCAGUAGUC